ACGCGUUGGGAGCUCUCCCAUAUGGUCGACCUGCAGGCGGCCGCGAAUUCACUAGUGAUUAGAGUUUGAUCAUGGCUCAGAACGAACGCUUUCGGUAUGCUUAACACAUGCAAGUCGAACGGAUUUAUUUAGAGCUUGCUUUAAUAAAUUAGUGGCAGACGGGUGAGUAACACGUGGGAAUCUGCCCAUCAGUACGGAAUAACAUUUAGAAAUAAUUGCUAAUACCGUAUAUUCUCUUUGGAGGAAAGAUUUAUCGCUGAUGGAUGAGCCCGCGCCAGAUUAGGUAGUUGGUAGGGUAAUGGCCUACCAAGCCAAUGAUCUGUAGCUGGUUUGAGAGAAUGAUCAGCCACACUGGGACUGAGACACGGCCCAGACUCCUACGGGAGGCAGCAGUGGGGAAUAUUGGACAAUGGGCGAAAGCCUGAUCCAGCAAUACCGAGUGGGUGAUGAAGGCCUUAGGGUUGUAAAGCCCUUUUCAGCAGGGAAGAUAAUGACGGUACCUGACCAAGAAAGCCCCGGCUAACUCCGUGCCAGCAGCCGCGGUAAUACAAUCGAAUUCCCGCGGCCGCCAUGGCGCCCGGGAGCAUGCGACGUC
rnacentral:rRNA from 1 species